rnacentral:rRNA from 1 species
UUGUCAGCAGCCGCGGUAAUACGUAGGGGGCAAGCGUUGUCCGGAUUUACUGGGCGUAGAGCGCGUGUAGGCGGCCGCACAGGUCCGUUGUGAAAACUGGAGGCUUAACCUUCAGACGUCGACGGAAACCGUAUGGCUAGAGUCCGGAAGAGGAGAGUGGAAUUCCUGGUGUAGCGGUGAAAUGCGCAGAUAUCAGGAAGAACACCAAUGGCGAAGGCAGCUCUCUGGGACGGUACUGACGCUGAGACGCGAAAGCGUGGGGAGCAAACAGGAUUAGAAACCCGCGUAGUCC